rnacentral:rRNA from 1 species
AUAUCAAUAAGCGGAGGAAAAGAAACCAACAGGGAUUGCCCUAGUAACGGCGAGUGAAGCGGCAACAGCUCAAAUUUGAAAUCUGGCUUAGGCCCGAGUUGUAAUUUGCAGAGGAAGAUUCUGGCAACGCGCCGUCCGAGUCCCCUGGAACGGGGCGCCAUAGAGGGUGAGAGCCCCGUAUGGACGGAUGCCUAGCCUGUGUGAAUCUCCUUCGACGAGUCGAGUAGUUUGGGAAUGCUGCUCAAAAUGGGAGGUAAAUUCCUUCUAAAGCUAAAUAUUGGCCAGAGACCGAUAGCGCACAAGUA